GGGGUCAUAGCUCAGUUGGGAGAGCGCUUGAAUGGCAUUCAAGAGGUCGUCGGUUCGAUUCCGUCUGGCUCCACCA
rnacentral:tRNA from 5 species